CCCACCCGAGGCUAGAGUGCAGCAGCCACAGAGAGACACGAAAGGCUCCGGCUCCCCUGUCGUCGCCGGCCAUGUCGGCUGGUCGCCGUCGCCGCGCGCCCGGCUCCUUCUCCUCGGUUCCGCCUCCCCGCUUCUCAAUUUGAAAGUCCGAGCCGGCGGCGGUUGCGGCAGUGUUUCGUCGAACACCCGUGUCUUUGUGGCGUAACAACUGAUGGAGCUGAUAUAAUCAUCAAAUGAUUGCUUCCAGAGAGCAUCAAAGAUGGCUCAAAGAUAAAUGUUGUAGUUCUUCGUCAUCUCGAGGCAGAAGAGCACUCUUCCAUCCGAUUCGAACUGGCUAGCCCACACUGGAUCCUGUGGGUUAAACGAUGAUCUCCAGUUGUUCAGGAUGCCUGUCCUGUUGAUGAUUACGAAACCCUCUAUAUAAUCAAAGGUCCUUUCUGCCGAAAUAAGCAUCUCCUGAUCCUCUGUGAAGCUUGUGAAGUCUGAGUAGAGAACUUUAAUCCACCUCACCUAUUGCAUAUUCAAAUCAUUAGCAAGUGACUAUUGCUAGCGUUAAGUUGGUAUAAAUUAAUUGUUUUGUUGUACCAUAUUCGGAGCUGGCUCGAGGGCAAUCCUGGCUCUAGUGAUGAUGCCAAACUGACCUAGGCCACCAAGAGCAGCAUGGAAGAGAUCAGAGUUAUUCUCAGCUCCUUGACAUUGCUUAUUUGUGGGCCAUGCCGGAACGUCUGCCCACUGACCCCUGCAUUCGACAGCGUGCCUCCAAUUGUGAGGUGGAGAUAAUCAGUCCAUGACUUUGGUGCCAGACCAUACUUAAAUGUCUCAUG